rnacentral:rRNA from 1 species
GACGAACGCUGGCGGCGUGCUUAACACAUGCAAGUCGAACGGAAAGGCCUCUUUCGGGGGGUACUCGAGUGGCAAACGGGUGAGUAACACGUGAGUAACCUGCCCUUGACUUUGGGAUAACUUCAGGAAACUGGGGCUAAUACCGGAUAGGAGCUCCUGCUGCAUGGUGGGGGUUGGAAAGUUUCGGCGGUUGGGGAUGGACUCGCGGCUUAUCAGCUUGUUGGUGGGGUAGUGGCUUACCAAGGCUUUGACGGGUAGCCGGCCUGAGAGGGUGACCGGCCACAUUGGGACUGAGAUACGGCCCAGACUCCUACGGGAGGCAGCAGUGGGGAAUAUUGCACAAUGGGUGGAAGCCUGAUGCAGCAACGCCGUGUGCGGGAUGACGGCCUUCGGGUUGGAAACCGCUUUCGCUCAUGACGAAGCUUUGUGUGACGGUAGUGGGUAAAGAAGCACCGGCUAACUACGUG